ACAUUGUUAUCGUGUGUAAUUUAAUAUAUGUGAUAAGCUUAUGUAGUAUGAAGCACUUUAUUCACAUAUUAAAGUCAGAUAUUAGUUGAUAUUUGACCGGUUCUAUUGUGCCUUAUGUCGUUACAAAUAAGUUAAAUCAUUUUCUAAAUCAAUUUUAGAUAAAAUUUUGUUUUCUUGUAUUCAUUGUUGAACUUGUGUAACCCAAAACUGAUUUAAGAAAUGUAUUGUUCAAUCAACUGGGUUAUACUGCAAAAAUUAAAUUAUAUAUUUCUACAUCAUUAGACGAAUUUUAUAAAAAAAAACUUAUGCAUCGUGAUUUUCAAGCAUAAAAUAAAAUACAUCAAAUUACAAAUAUGAACUCUUUCAAUUAUUUUUCAUUCACAAGGAAAAUAAGUAUAUUUUUAAUUUUGAAUAUUAUGUAUUGUUCGACUGAAUUUAUAGAUCCUGCAGUUAGAUUAAAAAAGAUCUUCAAUAAUGAAAUUUUUAUUUUUAAAAAUUCAAAUAAUGUAAUCUCACAUCCAUAUUCGGAAUUUAUUUUAACUGGAUAUGCUAACCAAACAGAUAUUUUUACUUAUAAACAAAAAGACAGUAACUAUUACCAUGAAAAUUAUCAUACUUUUGGCAAUAUUAUUGAAUAUAAAAAUAAGUAUAAGAUGCAUAUAAAUGAAAUAUAUCCUGACUUAUCAAGCGAAGAAUUUUUUAAAGCUCUCAAAAAUGGAAUCAAAGGAAAUUAUGAAAAUGAUUUUUAUGUUCCAGAAUUAAAAAAUUUCAGUUUUCAAUUUGAAACAAAAUUGUCUAUACCGGCUAAAUGUUAUAAUAAAGAUAUAAAUGUUUUUUAUCAUGGAAUACGAGGAUUUUAUUGUUAUACUAAGUAUGUUUCAGGAACUAGAUAUCAAUUGUUUUGUGAUUAUAUAAUAUACUGGAUCCCAGAAACUGAUGAUGGAAUUUUAUUAAAAUUAAAAAAAUAACUAACAUAUUUAUUUUUAAUAUCAUUUUGAAUUUGGAAGAUUUAUAACAGAUCUAUUUUACUGUCACAUUUUAAGUUGCAUGUAUCAUAAGCCAGUUUAACAUUUAUAUCGAUAGUAGUAUUUAGUUCAUAUUAUGUUAUACUUAAAUCAAAAUUUCUGGUAGAUUUUUAUUUUAUAGUGUUUUUUAUGUAUUCAUACCUGUAAUUUCUUUGUAAAUUAUUAUUUAGAUAUUAUUACAUACAUACAUUUGUUUGAUCAUUUUUCUUUUUUAAUUCAAGGUAUAUUUAAUAAAUAUUUUUAUGCAUAAGGAUACUAAUAAUAUAUAUGAUAAUUAAUUAUAAAUCGUGUAAUUUAAAGUUUACUAUUUAUUGUUAUUAAGUAAAUAAACAAAUAAAAUAUCACAGAGUAUAAACUAUUAUGUACAAUCGAAAAUAAGUAUAUUAACAUUAUCCAAUUAUUAAUCUAAUAAAUUAUUGAAAACUCAACUUAACAUAAAUACAAUUAAUCUUAUGUUUUAAAACAUAGUACGAAAAAUUUGUAGUAACUUGUAAUAAGGAUUAUAACAAUGAAGUGGUAGUAGUUUAACACAUUAUCUAGACAAUUUAUUGAAAACAUUUGGUUCUUUAUUUACAAAAAUUAAAUAAAUAAAUUUAAUUUAUUAAAAAAAUGUAAUUUAUUCUCAGAAUUGUAUCAAAAUGUUUAAUCUUUUAACAAAUUCAAUAAUUUAUUUCACUAUUAAUAUGUUGACAUUCUAAAGUACAUAUGUGCAGCGAAAUUCCAAAUUUUUUUUAGAAAAUUUCAGUAUUGUUAUUAUGAAAUAUUUGUUGUUUUAAGAUGAUGAUACUUUUAAAAAUAUUAGCUUAAUUUUGAAAAUCAAUUAACUUUUAAACUCGUUGAUUUUUAUUUUUGGCAAAUGAUAUUGUGUGUAGAAUUAUUUUAUUUAUACAUUUAAUUUAUUGACAGAUAAAUUUUAUUAAAUUAAAAUUUAUUUUUUAUUAUACUGCCCUGGUUAUUUUAUUAAAUCUGUAAUUUACUAGAAUAUAUAUUUAAAACAAAAAAAAAUAAAUCAUUUUUUUUAUUAAUAAAAUUAUUAGUGUAAUUAUAAUCAUUCAAUAAACUCGGAGAAAAAAUAUUAUGGUGUUUAGAAUAUAAGUAAUUUUACAAGGAAAAAUACAACCUAAUACAUAAUAAGUAGCAUUGAAUUAAUAUUUUUACUAGUCCAUUCUCAAAAUGAUGUCCCAUAAUAUUCAGAGAACCCUGUAUAAAACACAUUUAUGAGCAAAAUGUUCACGAAGAUGAAGGGUUAACAGAGUCAAUUCCUGAUGAUGCUGGUAAUGAUGAUGUUCUCUGCAUUGCUAUGUCUUGAGGCCUGGGAUCUUCACCAAAGGAUGCCAGAAGACUUGGCUAAAAUAUAAAUUAGAAAUUAUUUCAUACUAAGUUAUAAAUAAUACGUUUCAUUGAUGGACAUUUUCUGUACGAGUGAAUAAUUAUGUUCAAUUGGGUAUGAAGUUCAUCAAUUAAGAAUAACAUAUUUUUAUAGCAUAAAAAUGUACAAAAGAAAACAUUUGCUUCCAUUCACCUGUAGUGGUAAAAAAACAGAUUCAAUUGUUGCAGCUCGUGGUUGAAGUGGCGCAGGAGCUACUGUUCCACCACGACCAUUCAAUACGCUUCCUGAAUAUGUAUCUUGAAGACCUGAAAAUUUAAAAAUAACUUACAAUACAUUGACUUCGUUAAAAAGAGAUUCAAUUGAUAUAACUUUUUAUAUUUUUAACGAGACUUUAAUAAAGUUUUGUAAUAUUUUACAUUUGGUAAACAUAAUAUUAAAUAUUACGUUCUAUUAAUAUUAUGAAAUUCAAAUAACUUUAGUAUAAAUAAUUUUAUAGAGUAUUUAUAAUCUUUCAUAGGAAAAUUUUCGAUACAAUUAUUCAUUUUUAAUUAAAACUUUAAAGAUAUAAUAUAAAAAAUUAGACUAUAGAAUUUCUAUUUAUGUAAUUAAAUAUAUUUUUAAGAUCAAUAAAACUAUUUUCUGUUGAAAAAGAAAUCCAUUAAGUAUCAUGAGUUAAGAAAAGAUUAGUAAGUUUGUUUAUAAUACUGUAUAUAUAUAUAUAUUAAACCUAAUGAAAAACAUUAAAUUAUGAAGAAUAAUUUAUGAUUAUACACAAAAUAUUUUUUAGUUUUAAUAUUUUUUUACUUUAAUUUAUUUGCUUUUAUAAUUUAUAAAUUAUAUGUUAUGUCUCACUAAUAAUGACCCACUGAAAUUAUUUGUAAUUAAUUAUAACUUGCCUGAUAUUUUUGGAGAAUUAUAUGGUAAAAAGGACUGAGAAGAAAUGCCAGGUAUUUUAGGCGCUUGAAAUGCCAUACUCAAUACAUUCAUCCCGUUCAAAUUACCUACAAAUAAGAUAUAUUGCUUUAUAUUUUUCGUUUAUUAUAAGAAUAUUUUAACUUUGGUUUUUUAGCUUUGAGACAUAACUAGAGAGAUUUUAGUUUUACUCAUGUUUUUUUUUUUGUGUCAAAUUAUUAAAAAUUACAGGAUCAAUUUUGAUAUUAGAGACAUAAAAUAUCACAAAUGUAUGUACAAUUAGAUCUAAGGUACCAUAGUUUUGAAAAAUUCUUCUAAGUUCUCUUUUAUACCUAUGAAUUUGCAAGAAAAAUACUUUUGUAAUCACAAUUAAUGAAUGCAUUAUGUUGAAACAAAUAUAACAAUACUUUUUGAUCAAACAAAAUGUUAUUUUGAAUUUAACUUAAACCACGUACACUUAAAUUAUUAUAAAAUUUCCAUACUUAAUUAAAUAAAAUUAAUGAAAUGCAUUUGCAUUUUUUAAAUUUUAAACAGUUAAAGGACGUUUUGAGUUUUAAAUUAAACCUUAUAAACGCAAGUAUGGGGAUAAUGGACAAUUCAAUCCUUUUCCGAGAAUAAAACAUUUUAUAGAGGUUUAAUAUAAAAAUAUAAUAUACCUUUAGAGGAAAUAAAAUAUCCAUAUUAAGACAUAAGGGAUGACAUUUUUAGCAAAUAAAACGUAUAAUAUAAUUUAUAAUAUUUUCAAAUGUUUUAUGAUAAAAAUCACAGACAUAUUUUAAAGGCUUUUAAUGUUGGAAUUAUUUGAUAGUAGUUUUCAUCGAAAUAUUAAAAUUUAGUGUAAGGUUUUAAGAGAGAUACAAGUAAUGCCGUCAUUUGGUCAAUAGCAUCUACCUUUAUAUCUCAAUAAAGCCUAGAAUUAUUUACAUAAAUAAUAAAAAGCGUUUAUUCAAUAUUCUAAUUAUCUAGAAUGUUCAUGAAAACAGCAAUAAACAACUGUUACUGAUUAGGUUGUUUCUAUUGCAUAUACAACGUGAAAGAUAGGAAAAUUAAUAUAUUUUAACCAUUAAUAUCAAAUUAAAAAUAGUAAGAAAGAGAUUCCCAAGAUAUAAAAAAUUAACGUACGCGUAAUGAUAAAUUAAAAGUUUUAAUAAACAUUUCUUCAGUUAACAUAUAAAUACUGACAUAGAAAUGAUUUAAUAAUAGAUUAAUUUUCACGUAAUGAUUAUAUGUUCUAAUAUUACUUAACUUAUUAAUUAUUUAAGACCUAAUUUUAUAUAUUUACUUAAUAAUGACAUCACAUAUAUUAUCUAAAGGUUUCAGAAGAGUAGACUAGACAAUUGCCCCGAGACGCGCAAUUACAAAUAUUUAACAAUACAUUAAUAACAAUAUUUAUACACCAAUUAUAUUUUUAGUGAUGGAUGAAGUACCAUGGUGAUAUUUAAAGGUAAAGAUCACGUACAGGAGUGUGGAAAUUAUAGAGGCAUAAAGCUUAUGAGUCAUAG